AUGGGAUGAGCGAAAAUAAAUAGCGCCUGCAGGAAAGCCCCAAACUACCAAUCAGUGAUUAUAUUAAUACAUUUCAGGUAUUCUCCCAGUGACAGAUCAAAUUUCAUCAUAGUUAAAAAGCAAAUUUAUAGCUAAUAUAAAUUUAAGUUAAAGACCAUGUAAAGUCCGUUCUGCGCAUACGUUCUGCGCAGGCUUACAUUCCAAUGGUCGGGACCAUAGAUAUAGGAGAUCUAGAUUGCUAACGCAUACCUAGCGCAGGCGGGGCCUACAUGAU